AAUGAUAAAACUUCAGGCUUACACCUUCAAUAGGACCAGUAGAAUCAAGAUAAUCGGAUGAGGAUGAAGUUUUAAACCGGUAAUAAAGAAUUACAGCCGAAAAGAACAAAUGGACAAAAAUAAUGGAGAGAUGGAGAAGGACAUUUGGCGGUACAACAAACAUUUGUUGGCAGGUUACACGGGUAUUCCAUCACUGCCUGUUUAGCCGGCGCGUAGCAUUUGCACGAGGUCCAGCCAACCAGGAUCACGGGCGCUUUAAUGCACCGCUACCCACAAGGUAAAGCCCGUUUUUCCACCCCCGAAGAAUUAAGUGUUGGACUCCGUACACAAUUUGUCGUGAGGAAAAAAACAAUAAACUCUAACGUUUAUCAAAUCCAUAGACGUGAAAACACGUUUUAAUAAUUAUGCACAGACGCCCACAACUUUUCAUUAAUCUAACCCCCAUCCGUAACGUUGUAGCAUGUGAGCAAAUAAAACCACAAUAUGUACGUACAACAAUCAAUCUAAAAUGCCGCAUAUAUUUGAAGUGCGAGCUUAAAAGGUAAACAUUCUACGAAAUUGAAAGCUUUAAUAGGAGUGCACGUCACAAUUAAACGCCCACGUGGGGAACGAUUUAAUCUCGUUUUUCGACUGAUAAGAAUCCAUUCUCUUCAGGAAUGUG